rnacentral:rRNA from 1 species
AAAAAGCGGAGGAAAAGAAACCAACCGGGAUUGCCUUAGUAACGGCGAGUGAAGCGGCAAAAGCUCAAAUUUGAAAUCUGGUACCUUCGGUGCCCGAGUUGUAAUUUGGAGAGGGCAACUUUGGGGCCGUUCCUUGUCUAUGUUCCUUGGAACAGGACGUCAUAGAGGGUGAGAAUCCCGUGUGGCGAGGAGUGCGGUUCUUUGUAAAGUGCCUUCGAAGAGUCGAGUUGUUUGGGAAUGCAGCUCUAAGUGGGUGGUAAAUUCCAUCUAAAGCUAAAUAUUGGCGAGAGACCGAUAGCGAACAAGUACAGUGAUGGAAAGAUGAAAAGAACUUUGAAAAGAGAGUGAAAAAGUACGUGAAAUUGUUGAAAGGGAAGGGCAUUUGAUCAGACAUGGUGUUUUGUGCCCUCUGCUCCUUGUGGGUAGGGGAAUCUCGCAUUUCACUGGGCCAGCAUCAGUUUUGGUGGCAGGAUAAAUCCAUAGGAAUGUAGCUUGCCUCGGUAAGUAUUAUAGCCUGUGGGAAUACUGCCAGCUGGGACUGAGGACUGCGACGUAAGUCAAGGAUGCUGGCAUAAUGGUUAUAUGCCGCCCGUCUUGAACCACGGGACCA